ensembl:lncRNA
AUUUCAAUGCGAGAAGAACAGAGAGAAUUUGUUUCCCUGAAAGAAUGUACUUGGGUUUGGAUGAGUGUAAUUUGACACAGUGCCACCAUUAUUUCGUAAUUUGACUGGAAACAGUAAAUAGUUUUUUGCACAUAUACAUAGGUCCAGGUUACUCCUGAAAAUGUAUUUGUGUUCUGAUGACGAAAAAGUCAUAGACAUCUUGGAUAGCAUGAAAGGAGGUCAGAGACCUGCAUUGAACGAUGGAUGAUUACCUUUGAGGGCCACAUCAUUUGUGAGGGCGUACACCCGAGAUUUCUGACUGCAGUAGCAACAAUGUUUGCAAUGUACUACGUCUUUAACCUUCAGUAUCCAGAGGAGGCAUGUGGCACAUUGGAAUUCAUUCAAAGACGAUUUGUCGGGAUAAACCCUGAAAAAGGCUCGAAGACUGGCAGAGGCA